AGUGAACGCUGGCGGCGUGCUUAACACAUGCAAGUCGAACGAGAACGGAUUAUAGCUUGCUAUAAUUGUCAGUUAAGUGGCGCACGGGUGAGUAAUGUAUAGGUAAUAUGCCUCUUACUAAGGGAUAACAAAUGGAAACGUUUGCUAAUACCUUAUACUCCUUAUUAACAUAAGUUAAUAAGGGAAAGAUUUAUUGGUAAGAGAUUAGCCUGUAUUGUAUCAGUUAGUUGGUGGGGUAAUGGCUUACCAAGACUAUGACACAUAACUGGUUUGAGAGGAUGAUCAGUCAGACUGGAACUGCAACACGGUCCAGACUCCUACGGGAGGCAGCAGUGGGGAAUAUUGCACAAUGGACGAAAGUCUGAUGCAGCAACGCCGCGUGGAGGAUGACACAUUUCGGUGCGUAAACUCCUUUUAUAUGAGAAGAUAAUGACGGUAUUAUAUGAAUAAGCACCGGCUAACUCCGUGCCAGCCGCCGCGGUAA
rnacentral:rRNA from 1 species